ACGCCGCUGGGACGGGCGUUGCAGCCGUUUUUCGGCGACGGGCCGCGAUGCGCCGCGGCGGUCGAGGUGCAUUCCCCGGUGACGGCC
rnacentral:tRNA from 1 species